UACAGAGGGUGCAAGCGUUGUUCGGAAUCAUUGGGCGUAAAGGGCGCGUAGGCGGUCGUGACAAGUCACUUGUGAAAUCUCCGGGCUUAACUCGGAACGGUCAAGUGAUACUGUCGGACUAGAGUACAGAAGGGGCAACUGGAAUUCUCGGUGUAGCGGUGAAAUGCGUAGAUAUCGAGAGGAACACCUGCGGCGAAGGCGGGUAGCUGGGCCGACACUGACGCUGAUGCGCGAAAGCCAGGGGAGCGAACGGG
rnacentral:rRNA from 1 species